UUCAGGAGAGCUACCUCUUUCUGACUGCAGAGAAGAAGGGCAACUGGUUGCCUGGGCUUCCUUCUUUACUGAAGGACAGCCCCGGCAGCCAAUAGCAGCCAGAACGAAGGAGGAGCUUCCUCCCUCGGCUUCAGUUGCAAAGCAACCAGACUGCGAUGCCAGUGUUCGAGCGUAACGCUGGCACCACAGAACCAGAGAUCCAGGCAGCGGACCUCACUACAAGCUCAAGGAACUCGCUGUGUUCCAAAAUCAAAGUGCUGAACAUAAAUCCAAAGGAGUUGGCAUGGCUGUAAUAAAUGGUCCAAACUCACAGCCAGAAGGAGAUGUGUAUGUGAGCAGGGGGGAAACAACCAUUGCCUGUCCAUAUCAGCAGCAGCCGGUUUACUCUGCAUUACCAUUGGAAUUAUUGGGAAGAGCAACGGUCCCUAUCCAACUCCAGCACUUUUGCAACCACAGUACCAGCUCUCCUUCCUUGGCUGCAGCUCUCCAUGGUUUCUGGCCAUGUCCAGGAAGGGGUCUUCUCCAUCUCGACUUGGAGGAGUCAAAGAGUGAACUUGGGACCUUCUGCAUGCAAGCAGAUGCUCUACGCCAUCCCCUAAGGGGAAUAUCUCACAGCAGAUAGAGCUCACGCAUUUAAAUGUAUCAAAUAAAUUUAAAUCAAUUUAAAUCAAUUCAAAUCCAUCCAUCCAUACAUCCAUACAUCCAUACAUACAUACAUGUAGUCAUGGACCCUGAUGCCUGUUACGAUCUUCUGGAGAGGUCAGGUUACAAUUGCCACCUUCUGGGGGUUACCCGGGUCCGGGCUUUCUCUGUGGCUGGCCCAGGAAUAUGCUCCCUGCUCAAAUAAGAACAUCUUAUUCUCUGUUUGUUUUCAGGAAAAACCUCACCU